rnacentral:rRNA from 1 species
GUGGAUGCCUUGGUAUUGACAGGCGAUGAAGGACGCGCCUACCUGCGAUAAGCUUCGGGGAGUCGGUAAGAGACUAUGAUCCGGAGAUUUCCGAAUGGGGAAACCCGGCAGAGUUAAUCCUCUGUCAUCUCGAAAGAGAAGCGAUACCCGCCGAAUUGAGACAUCUAAGUAAGCGGAGGAAAGGACAUCAAAAGAGAUUCCCAUAGUAGCGGCGAGCGAAGUGGGAAUAGCCCAAACCAGUAAUUUAUUACUGGGGUUGUAGGGCUAGCGAUAUGGAUUAUCAAAUUUUAACCGAACAGCAUGGGAAGGCUGGCAAGAUAGGGUGAAAGCCCCGUAGGUGAAAGGAUUCGAUAGACUAGCUAGUACCCUGAGUAGGGCCGGACACGUGAAACCCGGUCUGAAUCUGGGGGGACCACCCUCCAAGGCUAAAUACUCGUCAAUAACCGAUAGUGAACCAGUACAGUGAUGGAAAGGUGAAAAGAACCCCUGUUAAGGGAGUGAAAUAGAAUCUGAA